rnacentral:rRNA from 1 species
AGAAUGAACGCUGGCGGCAUGCCUAACACAUGCAAGUCGAACGAAGGCUUCGGCCUUAGUGGCGCACGGGUGCGUAACGCGUGGGAAUCUACCCUUAGGUUCGGAAUAACAGUUGGAAACGACUGCUAAUACUGGAUGAUGACGUAAGUCCAAAGAUUUAUCGCCUAGGGAUGAGCCCGCGUAGGAUUAGCUAGUUGGUGUGGUAAAGGCGCACCAAGGCGACGAUCCUUAGCUGGUCUGAGAGGAUGAUCAGCCACACUGGGACUGAGACACGGCCCAGACUCCUACGGGAGGCAGCAGUGGGGAAUAUUGGACAAUGGGCGAAAGCCUGAUCCAGCAAUGCCGCGUGAGUGAUGAAGGCCUUAGGGUUGUAAAGCUCUUUACCCGGGAUGAUAAUGACAGUACCGGGAGAAUAAGCUCCGGCUAACUCCGUGCCAGCAGCCGAC